rnacentral:rRNA from 1 species
GACAGAGGGUGCAAACGUUGUUCGGAAUUACUGGGCGUAAAGCGCGUGUAGGCGGCCCUGCAAGUCGGAUGUGAAAUCCCACGGCUCAACCGUGGAAGUGCAUUCGAAACUGCAGGGCUAGAGUCCUGGAGAGGAAGGUGGAAUGCUUGGUGUAGAGGUGAAAUUCGUAGAUAUCAAGCGGAACACCGGUGGCGAAGGCGGCC